ACCUCCAGGCUGUGCACGGGGCCCUGUGCCCCCAUCCGGGAGUACAUCAUGGGCCACGUGCGGCACCCGCGGAAUGUGAAGAAGAUCAAAGGGAACCUGCUGUGGUACCAGCACCUCAAGGAGAUUCAGGUUUGGGGGG